rnacentral:rRNA from 1 species
CAAAGCAUUCAGACGAAGGCAUAUACAAAGGAUGAGGACAAACUCCUUUGUGAAUGUUGGAGAGACAUUGGACAAGACCCCAAGAUCGGCGCCGAGCAAAAGGCACCAACCUUUUGGCUAAGUGUUCAUCGCCAAUUUCAUGAGUGCAAGAAGUUCGCGCCAUACAAGAUGGAGAGCAAGCGUGGGUGGGUGUCCCUCUCAAAGCGUCGAAGGGUCAUACAACAAGAGUGCAAUAAGUUUUGUGCCACCCUUGAGAGCAUCGAAGGCCGUCCCAUGAGUGGCUUCGGCAUCAAAGACAUGGUAUACAUUCCUCCACCUUCGUUUUUGUUGUUUCAUGCUUGCCUGACCGUUGCCCAUAUGAAUAUGCAUUCUUGUCUUCAUUUGUAG